rnacentral:rRNA from 1 species
UACGUAGGUGGAAAGCGUUGUCCGGAAUUAUUGGGCGGAAAGCGCGCGCAGGUGGUUCCUUAAGUCUGAUGUGAAAGCCCACGGCUCAACCGUGGAGGGUCAUUGGAAACUGGGGAACUUGAGUGCAGAAGAGGAAAGUGGAAUUCCAAGUGUAGCGGUGAAAUGCGUAGAGAUUUGGAGGAACACCAGUGGCGAAGGCGACUUUCUGGUCUGUAACUGACACUGAGGCGCGAAAGCGUGGGGAGCAAACAGG